GUUCUGCUUUCGGAUAGAAGUGUAGUGACAGUUCCCACAGAAGACCUUCUACCAACCAAUCCUCAGAUACUUUACUAAGUUGAUGAUCUUCCACAACUAAGUUAUUUGAGCGUUUAGUUCUUCACAAUCUUCAAUAUAGAUAUUUACAAGAUAAUUUAAAUAGAAUGGCAGGCUCUGGAUUUUUGUCCGUCAAUCCAUUUAAAAAUGUCUAGCUAUAUGGGG